rnacentral:lncRNA from 1 species
AAUAUAGUACUGGAAGUUCUAGCCAGAGCAAUUAGACAACAAAAGAAGGUCAAAGGGAUACAAAUCGGAAAGGAAGAAGUCAAAAUAUCACUAUUUGCAGAUGAUAUGAUAGUAUACUUAAGUGACCCCAAAAAUUCCACCAGAGAAGGCCUGCAGCUGAUAAACAGCUUCAGAAAAGUGGCCGGAUGUAAAAUUAACUCAAACAAAUCAAUGGUCUUCCUCUACUCAAGAGAUAAACAGACUGAGAAAGAAAUAAGGGAAAGGACACCCUUCACAAUAGUCAGAAAUAAUAAAAUAUCUUUGUGUGACUCUAACCAAGCUAGUGAAAGAUCUGUAUGAUAAGAACUUCAAGUCUUUUAAGAAAGAAAUCGAAGAAGACCUCAGAAGAUGGAAAGAUCUCCCAUGCUCAUGGAUUGGCAGGAUUAAUUAGUAAAAAUGGCCAUCUUCCUCAAAGCAGUCUGCAGAUUCAAUGUAAUCCCCAUCAAAAUUCCAACUCAAUUCUUCAUAGAGUUAGAAAGAGCAAUUUGCAAAUUAAUUUGGAAUAACCAAAAACUCAGGAUAGCCAAACUAUUUUCAUCAAUAAAAGAACUUCUGGGGUUAUCACCAUUCCUGACCUCAAGCUGUACUACAGAGCAAUAGUGUGAAAAACUUCAUGGUAUUGGUACAGAGACAGGCAGGUAGACCAAUAUAGAAUUGAAUAUCCAGAAAUGAAUCCACACACCUAUGGUCACUUGAUGUUUGACAAAGAAGCUAAAGUCAUCCAGUAGAAAAAAAAAACAGCAUUUUCAACAAAUGGUGCUGGUUCAACUGUCGGUCAGAAAGUUGAAGAAUGCAAAUUGAUCCUCUCUUAUCUCCUUGUACAAAGCUCAAGUCCAAUAGGAUCAAGGACCUCCACAUAAAACCAGAGACACUGAAACUUAUAGAAGAGAAAGUGGGGAAGAGCCUUGAACACAUGGGCAUAGGGGAAAAUUUCCUGAACAGGACACCAAGUGCUUAUGCUCUAAGAUCAACAGUUCCACCUCUUAAAGGAUGUGCUGGACUUUUUGUUUUACAUGUCAGUGUGGGGUACAGUAAGAGUUCUGUAGAUAACGUUCAAUUAAUAGCUCCAGGCAUCUUUGCAGUGCACACUUCCUUACCCAAGGAAAGUUUAAAGGGAACCAACAACUACCGUCAUUACCGAUGUCGAAAGAGAGAAAAGAUACAGGUAUUAUGGAGCUUUGAAUGUUUAUAAGACAUGGAAGGAGGCAAACACAUUUUUGUGAACAAAGGAAUUGUCUGGACUGAAUGCUACUUUAGAACAGAAUUCAUAACCAAUACUGUAAAAAGCAGCAUUAAAUUUGGAAUGAUCCUAUCUAAUUCAAAUUUUUUGCAUAACGGAUCAAUGAGCCCAGUCUACACUAAUUGUAAUAAUCAGUGUGAGAAAAUUGUGCCCAAACACAACAUUGUAUCACUGGACUGUAGUGAAAAACAUAAGUCAUCUCACAUUUUUCAAUCCUCUCCAGCUCUCGUUCAUUUUAUACACCCAAAUCUAUCGAGAUGCCCUCAAAAACAUUUAAAAAACAAAAUGAACAAACUAUACAAAUGAAAACUCUGCCUUGAAGGAUGAGUAUGAGAGUCCCAAUUUGGUAAUCCAAACUCUCCCAUGGCUUCUAAUGGCAUUGGAGCCUCAGUGCGGCCUGCAAAAGGCCCUAGCCCCAUGACUUUGCAAGAAACAGAACCCAGGGCAAGCUCCCCCUACGUCACUCCCAACACUUUCAGAAAGCCUGUAGCUGGCAGCCGCUGCCUGCACGCAGGGUUGUUGACCCGGAAGCAAUUCAGGAAGUGGGUGGUGUUGGCUGUCAGUUCCGGUGCAUCAGUGCAUCGCAGUUGCAUUCAUUUGCUGCUUGCCAGUCGUCUCUUUCGGAUUUGGGCAUUUGGAGCUGGUGUCGCAGAUCCUGAGCACCAUGGCUGAAGAGGAAGUAGGGAACAGCCAGAGGCAGGUAAGGUCCCAGCAGGGGUCAUCCUUUCCCCGCCUUUCCUUUUGAUUCUUUUUUUGUUGUUGUUGAUUUUGAGAUAGUGCCUCUACUUAUCAGUGGUUAUCCUGGGGUCACAGUUUCGGGCUGGUUUUGGACUCAGAGCUCUGCCUGCUGCUCAGAUGUGCAGUAUUAAAGGCAUGGGCUUUCAAAUUAAUCUCCAUUUAAUAUUAAUUAUAAACUAAAAUAAAUUCUUAAGUGGUUUGAAAUGGUUACCAAAAAAAAAAAAAAGCUACUGUUCCC